AGUUGUUCUGCGGCCAUCAGCCUGGAAGCGGUGAGUGGUGGUGGCGCUUGGGGGCGCCAGGCAGGACGGGAGCAUUUCCAGUCUCCACACUGUCAGCUGUUCCUGCAGAGGAAGUUUCUGGACUCAGGUCCCACCUGUGUCCCUAUGCGCUCUGUGAUUCGGGGCGAGCAUUGACUCUUCUGUGUACCCUAGUUUUGUCCAUCUGUGGAAUGAAGUGUUGGACCCUCCAGUGGGGGCCCUCACCCAGCACCCUGCCUCUGCUUUCUCUUUCUGAGCCCUUGGUGGCCCCUGCUAAUCAGAGAAGGCGUCCAUUCUGGAAAUGUUCAGAUGCGGCUUCAGAAUCCUUCUCAACACAAAGUCCUGGGUAGCGACUCUUAAUGAUUCAGAGCUGAAACCCAUUCAUCAUUUGUGGAUUGGACAAUUUCUAAAAACCCUUUCAUCCCUAAAGACAAAGCUCUGGGCUCUUCAUGUUUUGAGCUCUUACCUUUGGCUCCCGGCCCUUGCCUGACCCAGUCCAGGCCUCACCAAUGUCUGACCUCUCUUGGAGGCGCCAGACAAGCAGGGACCAGCAGAGGAGAAUAGCUGGGCUAAGCACAACUUUAUUUAACCUCCCAACAAGCUUGGGAGGUGAGCAAUGUUAUUGACCCAUUUUACAGAUGAGAAGACUGAGGUUCGGUUAAGCAACUCACCCAAGGUCACUCGUGAGUUGUGCUGAGUCGGGGUUGUAGCCUAAUCUCUCGGCCGUCAAAUUCGUGUUCUCACCCACUGCACGUGACUGUGUGCCCCAGGGGUGGGCAGCGGAAGGAGAACAUCAUAAAUCCUCCUCUGGUCUCGUCCCUGUAUCUCAGGCCGCUUUUAGCAAAGACAGACCCAGCCACUCUCCACUAAUCCUAAGGACUCCUUUCCUCCUGCCUGUCCCCCAACAUUGUAUUUAUCUCACCUUAUGCAGUAGGACCUAGACUGUCCCAUUUUACAGUUGAGGAAAGCCAAGGUUAAGUGACUUGCUGGAGGUCACCAGCGAGGGAGUUGCCAGAGACUGAGAACGGGAUCUGCCUCCCUUUGGCUGGAGGCUCAGGAAUACACACGACCCAUGGCAGCCACGGGGAGGGAGGGCGGCUGGGACCCCAGAGGGCUUCUGGUUGACAACAUGGCUCUUGACAACGCGGAAGGUACUUUCCAGGGCACUUGGAAGUUCCAGUCACUAUUCCUCCUGGAGAGAUCAGCCACAUCCUGCGAUUCGUGGCACCCAUGCUGGCUUCUGCAGAUGGGGCUGGAAGCAGAAGAAAACUCCAGCUGGUCCUUAGGGACGUAGCAGGGCCUUGGGGCUGAAGGCCACUCUCUCACCUUGUCCUCACGGUCCAGUUUUCCCAGGAAUCCCUUAGAUGCUAAGAUGGGGAUUCCUGGAAAUACUGUUCUUGAGGUCAUGGUUUAACAGCUGGAUUCGCCUCCUUCCCACCCCAGAGUUGGCCCUGUGGGGCCUCGGCUCAAGCACAGGAUGAGGGGCAAGGAGAGGCCCGUGCGCUGGAGGUAAGAGGGCUCGCAGACCGUCUUCUUGACCUUUAAGUUGCUCUUCUUUCCAUAUUGUCCAUUUCGUAACAUCCCUAUGAGGCUGGAUGUGGGAACUUCACCGCUGCCAUACUCUUGGGAAAUUUGCCCCGACGCUCGCGGAGCAGUGGCUGAACCGGGACGCUGUAAAGCACGGGUUCUCCCGGUCUCCACCCACCCUUACCCCACUUCCCAGCAUGCCGUGUGGUAGGGGCCACAAGAGCGUAUCUGCAUGAUUGACAAAUUAAUAAACGCGCACGAAUUUAUUUUAACAGUUUAUUAAAUCAGUUAGGUAAACUAAAAACUAUAAGUCUUAGUUCCAUUUGGAAUACAGCCAGAGAAAAAUAGAAAUUUUUUCCAUCAACCCGGAGAAGACAAAAAAGCUCAGAGCGCCCUCUUGUGGUGAUGCCUGCUGCUACCCACUCCAGGAACACACGCACACGCACACGCACCGCCCCGAGAUUCCUUUAGCCCCACGCACUUCUGAGGCAGUGACCACUCAAGCCCCAUCCAUCAGCUCAUUACUAGUGGUGGCUCCAGCACUCAGUGUCCUUUUAGUUCCAAAGCCUGGCUUCCUCCUCAAAGCUCCCUGAAGGUCUGUGUGGUAGGGGAGGCUCAGAGAGGUGAAGUGACCAGCCCCAGGUCGCCCAGACAGCAAAAGGAAGAGCCAGGAUUGAUCCCAAGUCCAGUGGCCUGUGGCAAUUCCUUAGCUAAAAGCAAAAACUACAAAAAUAAAACCUAAAAAGACUCUCUGAAUAGACAUUGGGAAUGCUAAUGGACCGAAUGCCGAGGACCCGAGGUGGCUCCCACACAUGGCUCAAGCUGUCUUCCUAACGGCCCACAUGGAAGACAUUUAUGAUGUACGAGAUCUACUCUUCUCAUACACAGAGACUGGAGCUGGCCUGACCAUGGAGAAAUCUGAUUUGCUCCUAACAAUGAUAGUAAUAGCUUCUACUCAUGGAGCACUUACAAUUUGCCAGAUACUCUCUAAACAGGUGCACAGGCAUUACCUCAUUCAGUGCUCACAAGAACCCAGUGAGACAGGUUUUAUCAUUUACUCCAUUUCACAGACAAGGAAGCCAAGGCUCAGAGAGGUUAAGAGACUUGCCUAAGGCCACACAGCUAAUAACGGUGAAUCUGGGAUCAGAUCAAGUCUGUGUUUAUGCUUUUAACCUGCCCUUGCCUCCUCCCUCCCAUUUGGCCUGACUUGACGAGUAGGGCUAUCUCUCUGUGGCUUCCCUGGGGGGGGUGGCGGAAGGUAAAAAAGUAAGACCUGUGUGGUCCCUUCUGUGCUCUGUGACUAUAAUAAACUGCUGGACC
rnacentral:lncRNA from 1 species